UCACCCCGAAUGGUUGAAGGAGCCAGU
rnacentral:piRNA from 1 species